rnacentral:misc_RNA from 1 species
CCAAAACUUUCAGAUAGAACAACAAGACCGCCAGUCCUUUCAACUGCAACUUUGAUUUCUGCAACCCCAACCUGAUCAAGUGCAGAUGCAAAAAGGUUUAAAACAUGACCCUGGCUAACAAGCUGCUUCGCAAGAUUAUCAUAGAAUUUAACUGCUUUCUUAAAAUAUGGUGCUGCAUCCUUGUCAAGAUCUUUAUGGGAACGCACUGGAUCUGA